rnacentral:rRNA from 1 species
GACGUAGGGCGCGAGCGUUGUCCGGAUUUAUUGGGCGUAAAGAGCUCGUAGGCGGCUUGUUGCGUCGACCGUGAAAACCCGCGGCUUAACUGCGGGCUUGCGGUCGAUACGGGCGGGCUGGAGUUCGGUAGGGGAGACUGGAAUUCCUGGUGUAGCGGUGAAAUGCGCAGAUAUCAGGAGGAACACCGGUGGCGAAGGCGGGUCUCUGGGCCGAUACUGACGCUGAGGAGCGAAAGCGUGGGGAGCGAACAGG